rnacentral:tRNA from 1 species
GGCAUGGUGGCUCAGUGGUGAGAACGCCCGCCUCAUGAACGGGAGGUCGUGGGUUCGAACCCCGGCCGAUUCA